rnacentral:rRNA from 1 species
UAACCUGCCCAAGAGAUCGGGAUAACACCUGGAAACAGAUGCUAAUACCGGAUAACAACAGAUGAUGCCUAUCAACUGUUUAAAAGAUGGUUCUGCUAUCACUCUUGGAUGGACCUGCGGUGCAUUAGCUAGUUGGUAGGGUAACGGCCUACCAAGGCGAUGAUGCAUAGCCGAGUUGAGAGACUGAUCGGCCACAUUGGGACUGAGACACGGCCCAAACUCCUACUGGAGGCAGCAGGU